CAAGAACAAACCAGUCGGGUGGGUGGGAUUACAGACGGCAAACCGCAAUGCUUGGUCUGAGGUAUGGCGUCAUAGUUUGCUGAUAUUACGUUUUCCUUGGCCGUUGGAAACAAAAAAAAAUACUUACAAACGGUAGCAACACUACAAAACAUUUACAUUCUUAAAAUGGAACCUUUAUCAUGGUCAUCUGGAGAUAUCAGAGUGUUAUUGAGCAUCUGGGCUGACUCCAAAAUCUGGUGGCAAUUGGAUUAUCGACUAAAAACGAAAAGGCAUUUUGAAAACAAUGAAGGAAGAAAUGAAGGAAGUUAAAACGGAAUAUUAAAAAUAUCUAAGAACACACUAACAAAAGCGGCUCAGGAAUCAGCCAAUAUUUCGAGACAAUGCUGUGCUGGGACGCAAACCUCUGACUUUGAAUUGUGGGACUGUGGACUCGGCAUCACCGACACCGUAGAUAUAUUGAAAGCGAUGGCGACUCCAAUCACCACCGAUGAUCAGAAGGACUGGCUGACUGAAAGAGGUAGAAGACUCACUUCCUCAUUGCUCCAUCCUACUGCAGACUGGCUGACUGAAAGAGGUAGAAGACUCACUUCCUCAUUGCUCCAUCCUACUGCAGACUGGCUGACUGAAAGGGAUAGAGGACUCACUUCAGACCCAAGGACCAGUGAAUGAAGAGAGGAUGUCAUCAACCUUCUUUUCAAAGUGGUUACAAACUCUUCUGCAGAGAGAAGAUGGAUGAGGAGGGUUGAGGAGUGCCCCUGAUAUGAGCUCAUAUUUUCAGUCGGAGAGGGGAAACCAGACCAGAUACCCCUAUCGCUUGCCCUGCUCUGACCAGACCAGUGAGAGGUUUUGCUCUGGGCAGCCUUCUGUAGGGUAGAGGCAAAUGCCCAAAUCAAACAAUAAUGAAACUGGGCCUCUUAUUGUGAUGUCUUUUUAAAUUUUUUAUCUCUGGUAGUAUUCAAAUUUGAUGUAAUUUUGAUGUACUGAAAAUAAUUACACAGCGUUAUCAUGGAAACCACCAAAGUGGG
ensembl:lncRNA